UUUUAAAACAAUAAAAUUAUUGUUGAAUUGGUUUUCAAAGGCGGUGUUUUUAUUACAUCACGAGUCUGAGGAGGAGGCUUUGUUUCAUGAAAUAAUUGUCCUUUCCUAUUGGGAAUCAAAAUUACAUUCUUUCUCUGUCUUCUUUGUUUCCAAGUAGUUUCUAAGUCUGUUCCAGCUUGAAUUUCAUGCAUCAUUAUAAUGUCUUUUUUGGUAUUAAGUCUUCUCUUGCAAUGAAGGCCUGUGGUGGUUUCCUUCUCCUUUUCACUCCCAUCCGCACGGUUGAGACGCCCUCCAGGCACCCAGCUUUUGUUCUCCCACGACGCGGAUGACAAUGACACUGACGAGGAACAACAAACAUCUUGGGGUGAGGUGAAGACCCAAAGCAUAGCCGGAGGGAAUGGAUUAGAUUGGGAAGAUAGCUAAUGCUAAAGAUGAAGAUGAUGAGAGUGAAGACUGAGAUUGUUUUCCUUAUGAGUUUAUAAGAUGGAAGCCUUCAAUCUUUUAUCAUUAUCAUUAUGACACCAGAACUAGAAGGAAAAAGACAAAUAAAAAAAAUAAAACCAAAGCCGGAGUUGUUAGUUGGGACUCAUUAAUUGUGCAAUAAAGAUUGGUGUUUUGAAUUCUGGAAA